rnacentral:rRNA from 1 species
GACGAACGCUGGCGGCGUGCCUAAUACAUGCAAGUAGAACGCACAGUUUAUACCGUAGCUUGCUACACCAUACACUGUGAGUUGCGAACGGGUGAGUAACGCGUAGGUAACCUGCCUGGUAGCGGGGGAUAACUAUUGGAAACGAUAGCUAAUACCGCAUAAUAUUGAUUAUUGCAUGAUAAUUGAUUGAAAGAUGCUAUUGCAUCACUACCAGAUGGACCUGCGUUGUAUUAGCUAGUAGGUGAGGUAACGGCUCACCUAGGCGACGAUACAUAGCCGACCUGAGAGGGUGAUCGGCCACACUGGGACUGAGACACGGCCCAGACUCCUACGGGAGGCAGCAGUAGGGAAUCUUCGGCAAGGGACGAAAGUCUGACCGAGCAACGCCGCGUGAGUGAAGAAGGUUUUCGGAUCGUAAAGCUCUGUUGUAAGAGAAGAACGGGUGUGAGAGUGGAAAGUUCACACUGUGACGGUAUCUUACCAGAAAGGGACGGCUAACUACGUG